CUUCACCCUAUGUGCCAACCUAUGGUCAGUUUCAGUGGGUUUGAGCUCAUGCCACCUGUCAUCUUCAACCUUCGCUCUGGGCAGGGCCCCCUCUUCAUUUCUGGACAGCAUUUGACAUUGGUCUAUGGAGGAGGAGGAGGAGAAGGAGGAGGUCUUCUCAUCAACACCCCCACUUGGUCCUGCUCCCUCCACUCGCUCUCCUCUGGCCAGCCAUCCGACUGCAUGGGCCUCUUCUGCUGACAACAGGUGAAGACUCAUUUAACACGUGUUUGGAGAAAGUCACCUGCAAGCUAUACAGUAUAUAUUAAUAGCUGUUACAGAAUAUUGGCUCCUGCUCUCCAUACCUUGCUCUCCAGCAGAGACGCCCACUCCAGGAUGAAGGCCCUGCAAAGAGGAGUGGGCCAGAUGUCCUCUAGUUUCCAGAUGUUCCCCAGCACCUCAGACCUCUGCAGAGAGGGCAUAGACAAGUGUGGGAUUUAGUAGACUUGUUUAUCCUCCAAACUAGACCUGACAAUGGAUACUGGUAUAAUGGAUGUUACAAAAGGAGUAAUUCUACUGGAGAACAAGUUGACUGUAUGCUGCAGUAUGACUGACCUUGUUUACAUACAAGAUUUUCCUAGGAACGAAGAUGGUUCGGCUCUCUCCGUUUUCUGAAUCCGAAGGCAGACAAACAGCGUCGCCAUGAUUGUUGUGGUACAUCAGUUGUCCACGAAGUGGAACGCCUGGCUGUCUAGCUCCCGCCUAUAUCCUUUCUUUGGAUUGGUGGAUACAUAGCAUUAUUGUAAUCCCGUUUUGAAUAUUCGAUGAGGUUUGUUGACGUCAACCGCCUGUAUUCAAUGGAAAGAGAUACUAUGCUACUAGCCUAAUUUCAUGAAUAUGCAUAGCCAUCUCGAGACAACUCUGAUAUAAAGUGUUUUUUUCUCAAAGUUGGCGGGAUGUCACCAUGUCCUACUUAUAUCAGUAGAGGAGAAUGAAGGUGUCUGUAAUAAACGUGAUAAAAACAAAUAUAUACGUUUAAUAAAUGCAUUUCUAUAGCUUCCAAAAUAUUUUUACUCCGUUGGGGGAGUGCCAAGAUGGAGGCACGGUGGCAUCAAAACAGCCCUGACAUCAUCUUGUGUGUUUAUAUAAAUUGUUGACCCUGCCCUGUUUCCCAAAAGCAUCUUCAGGUUAAGUUCAUCUAACCAUUUUAAUGAUUAACUUAGCCUUAAGAUGCUUUCGGGAAACCGGGCCCUGUUCAAUACAUUGUAAAGGCAUCCUCUCUGUAGUAUGAACCAGUGUUCACUACUUGACAUGAGAAUCUGAGUUUCAGAAGCUGAGUAGUUAACUGUGAUAUAUUUCAGGUUACUUCAAAAGCAAGUUCCAUUACAACAUGGCUAAAGAGAGAAUCCAUUUAUCCAUUAGUUUCAAGUUUUAAUGUCACAUGCAAUUAAAUGCCUUUCUUGCAAGCUCCAAACCCAACAAUGCAGUAAUCAAUAUCAAAGUAUCACUAAAGAAUAACAUAAGGUAGAAAAAAACGUUGAUAUUUCUGUUCAGUAUAUGUAUAGGGUAGGUGACUAAACAUCAGGAUACCAAUGCCCCCUGUAUAUAGCCUCGUUAUUGUUAUUCUUAUUGUGUUACUUUUUAUUUUAGCCUACUUUGUAAAUCUUUUUUUCUU